GUGGCUAUUUGAAGGGUUUUUCAGGGAUGUUGUCUAGAUGUCUGCUGGGAACUGUUGGCAAGGCGACUGGAAAAAAUGGUCAAAAUUUAUUUUAGCUCUAUUCUCUGAGAACUAUUGAAAAUGAGACUUAUUUUAUUCCUUCUUUUUGAAAUUUGAAACAUGACCAUCAAGAGAAUGGAGGUUAUAAUGCAGAAUGAUACUAUCAGGACUACUAGAAAACUGGGCAUCAAUGUCCUAGCUCCUGGAAGUAAAGCCACUUAACAGAACUCAUGUUUCCAGGACAAGGCUAUGGAACCAUGGGAUUCAUUAUGAAAAAAUUAGAGAAGCAAAGAGAAGUGCUUUGACUUUCAUCAGCAGAAACUGGAGAAUACAGCCUAAUGCCUAAUUUUCAACAGUUUCCCUCCAAAUGAAAAUCACUAUUGGUAUGGAGAUGACUACCAUCAGCAUGAUGUGCUAUGAAUUUCUGGCUUGCCUGAAGAUCUAACCUUUGAGUGUCUUCUUAGCAUAUAUCUAAGAAAACUGGUGAGCUUGAAGAGCCACCUGCUGGAGAAUGGCAGCAUCCGAGCAAGACCUACAGAUUUUUCUUCCUUUCUAUAAGGUUACAAAUAGCCAGGGAGCCCAGCAACAUCACUAUUCACUGCUCAGCACUCUGGAAGUGGAAAGCAACACAAAUUUGAUUCUGAGGAUGAUGAUGAGGAUGACCCAUGGGCUUUAAGCAUCUAAUACGGAAAAGGAGCUGAGGUGAAUUCAGCUAAGUCUUUUUACAGUUCCUUGCAGCUCCUUUUUCUGAGAAAGAAGAGAAAAAUCAAUGCCUGACAAGAGCCCAGCACUCACAAACAACAGAGAAAUAACAAACUGAGUAAAACAUUAUCAAUUCCUUCAAUUGAUCAUCAUGUGAUCAACUUGUUUUAUUUGACAACGCUGUGCUUUUUAAAAGACAGAUUUUCAUCAUUCAUCAACAACCAUAACAAAUUCCACCAUCCAAAACACAAGUCUGCUUAUACUUUUCAUCUAUACAAUCAUCUCUGAAGUACAAGGAAAACAACAGUGAACUUGGAAAGAGAUCUAGAUUGGAGUUCUGGCUUUACCUGACAUCUAUUUACCUAACACCAAUAAAGUAUUUGCCUCAAGUGAACAUUUCUUAGACUCAGU